rnacentral:rRNA from 1 species
GCUUGCUCCCUGAUGUUAGCGGCGGACGGGUGAGUAACACGUGGGUAACCUGCCUGUAAGACUGGGAUAACUCCGGGAAACCGGGGCUAAUACCGGAUGGUUGUUUGAACCGCAUGGUUCAAACAUAAAAGGUGGCUUCGGCUACCACUUACAGAUGGACCCGCGGCGCAUUAGCUAGUUGGUGAGGUAACGGCUCACCAAGGCAACGAUGCGUAGCCGACCUGAGAGGGUGAUCGGCCACACUGGGACUGAGACACGGCCCAGACUCCUACGGGAGGCAGCAGUAGGGAAUCUUCCGCAAUGGACGAAAGUCUGACGGAGCAACGCCGCGUGAGUGAUGAAGGUUUUCGGAUCGUAAAGCUCUGUUGUUAGGGAAGAACAAGUACCGUUCGAAUAGGGCGGUACCUUGACGGUACCUAACCAGAAAGCCACGGCUAACUACGUGCCAGCAGCCGCGGUAAUACGUAGGUGGCAAGCGUUGUCCGGAAUUAUUGGGCGUAAAGGGCUCGCAGGCGGUUUCUUAAGUCUGAUGUGAAAG